AAAAGUCGUAACAAGGUUUCCGUAGAAGAACCGGCGGAAGGAUCAUUAUUGUACNNNNNNGUGCGAGGGCUGUCGCUGACCUUCAAAAGGUUGUGACGCCCAAGUGCUCUCACACAUCCAUCUCACCCCUUUGUGCAUCACCGCGUGGGUCCCCCCUUUGUGGAGGGUUGCGUUUUCACAUAAAAACUUGAUACAGUGUAGAAUGUAUUUUUUCAUUUGUGGUCACACACAAUCAGUACAACUUUCAACAACGGAUCUCUUGGCUCUCGCAUCGAUGAAGAACGCAGCGAAAUGCGAUACGUAAUGUGAAUUGCAGAAUUCAGUGAAUCAUCGAAUCUUUGAACGCACCUUGCGCCCCUUGGCAUUCCGAGGGGCACACCCGUUUGAGUGUCGUGAAAUCCUCAAAAACCUUUUCUUUGAUCCUUUUUGGUCAGGAAAAGGAUUUUGGACUUGGAGGUUUGAUGCUUGCUUUCCCUUUUGAAAGUGAGCUCCUCUCAAAUGGAUUAGUGGGGUCCGCUUUGCUGAUCCUUGACGUGAUAAAAUGUUUCUAACGUUUUGGAUUUAGCACAGUCUCUUGGAUGCCUGCUUCUAACUGUCUCAUGGACAAUGAUGGUGUUCUGGUCACCGCCAUCCAUAUUGGUGGGAGGCUGGACCCACAAAAAAAAACUUUGACCUCAAAUCGGGUGAGACUACCCGCUGAACUUAAGCAUAUCAAUAAGCGGAGGA
rnacentral:rRNA from 1 species